rnacentral:rRNA from 1 species
CCUACGGGAGGCAGCAGUGAGGAAUAUUGGUCAAUGGACGAGAGCCUGAACCAGCCAAGUAGCGUGCAGGAUGAAGGAUCUAUGGGUUGUAAACUUCUUUUAUAUGGGAAUAAAGUGAGGAACGUGUUCCUUUUUGUGUGUACCAUAUGAAUAAGCAUCGGCUAACUCCGUGCCAGCAGCCGCGGUAAUACGGAGGAUGCGAGCGUUAUCCGGAUUUAUUGGGUUUAAUAGGAGCGUAGGUGGUUAAUUAAGUCAGCGGUGAAAGUUUGUGGCUCAACCAUAAAAUUGCCGUUGAAACUGGUUGACUUGAGUAUAUGUGAGGUAGGCGGAAUGCGUGGUGUAGCGGUGAAAUGCAUAGAUAUCAUGAAGAACUCCGAUUGCGAAGGCAGCUGACCAAACUACAACUGACACUGAAGCACGAAAGCGUGGGGAUCAAACAGGAUUAGAUACCCUUGUAGUC